rnacentral:miRNA from 1 species
CAUUCAUUUCUUUUGUUU